rnacentral:rRNA from 1 species
GACGAACGCUGGCGGCGUGCUUAACACAUGCAAGUCGAACGGAAAGGCCCUGCUUGCAGGGUACUCGAGUGGCGAACGGGUGAGUAACACGUGGGUGAUCUGCCCUGCACUUCGGGAUAAGCCUGGGAAACUGGGUCUAAUACCGGAUAGGAGCCAUUUUUCGUGUUGUGGUUGGAAAGUUUUUUCGGUGUAGGAUGAGCUCGCGGCCUAUCAGCUUGUUGGUGGGGUAAUGGCCUACCAAGGCGGCGACGGGUAGCCGGCCUGAGAGGGUGGACGGCCACAUUGGGACUGAGAUACGGCCCAGACUCCUACGGGAGGCAGCAGUGGGGAAUAUUGCACAAUGGGCGCAAGCCUGAUGCAGCGACGCCGCGUGGGGGAGGACGGCCUUCGGGUUGUAAACUCCUUUCGCUAGGGACGAAGCUUUUUGUGACGGUACCUAGAUAAGAAGCACCGGCUAACUACGUG